rnacentral:lncRNA from 1 species
GUGGCACCGAGGGCGGCACCGUGGGGACGCCAGGGGGGCACCCCCGGGGGCAGCGGGCGCUGGAACAGGGGGUUGGUGUGGAAAUGGGGCUCCUCGUCCUCCUCCUGGGCUUCGUCAUCCUCAUCUUCAUCAUCUUCAUCAUCCUGGUCUUCAUCAUCCUCAUCUUCAUCAUCAUCUUCAUCUUCAUCAUCAUGGUCUUCGUCAUCCUGGUUCUCACCCAGGUUCUCCUCCACGUUCUCCUUAUCCAGGUUCUCACCCAGGUUCUCACCCAGGUUCUCCUCCAGGUUCUCACCCAGGUUCUUCUCAUCCAGGUUCUCCUUAUCCAGGGUCUCCUCCUCUUCAUUCUCAUGGGAGAAGCCACCAUGGACAUCACGGUCAUGGUGGUCAUCAUGGUCACGGUGGUCAUGGUGGUCAUUGUGGUCAUCUAGGGCAUUGUGGUCAUCAACGUCAUUGAGGUCAUGGUGGUCAUUGAGGUCAUCAAGGUCAUUUUGGUCAUUGAGGUCAUUGCGGUCAUCAUGGUCAUGGUGGUCAUUGUGGUCAUCGAGGUCAUCUAGGUCAUGGUGGUCAUUGAGGUCAUUGAUGUCAUUGAGGUCAGGGUGGUCAUUGAGGUCAUUGUGGUCACCAUGGUCAUGGUGGUCAGUAUGGUCAUGGUGGUCAUUGAUGUCAUUGAGAUCAAGGUGGUCAUUGAGGUCAUUGUGGUCACCAUGGUCAUGGUGGUCACUUAGAUCAUGGUGGUCACGGUGGUCAUCACGGUCAUCACUGGCCUGGUGGUCGCCAUCGUUGCCGUCACCUUCUUCUUCCUCCUGGCUGAGUCUGGGGACUUGGGGCUUGGGGGAGAUGGGACCAUCCAUGGUGGGACCAUCCGUGGUGGGACCAUCCAUGGUCACAGGUCUGGGGGAGAUGUCCCCAUCCCUGGUCACAGUCCAUGAGGAGAUGUCCCCACCCAUGGACAUGUGGGAGAUGCUCCCAAAGAGGAACUCAAAGCUUUGGUCCAUGGGAACAGCCUGGGGUGGGAUGUCCUCAUCCAUGGAUGCCUGGGAGAUGCCUUCAAACGUGGAUCCAUGGCCUUGGAGCUGCUGGGAGAUGCUCCCGGCCACGGUCAUGGACUUGGGUGGGGUGGACCCAUCUGUGGACACCUGGA